rnacentral:rRNA from 1 species
CCUACGGGUGGCAGCAGUGAGGAAUAUUGGUCAAUGGACGAGAGUCUGAACCAGCCAAGUAGCGUGAAGGAUGACUGCCCUAUGGGUUGUAAACUUCUUUUAUCUGGGAAUAAAAUGUUCCACGUGUGGGAUUUUGUAUGUACCAUAUGAAUAAGCAUCGGCUAACUCCGUGCCAGCAGCCGCGGUAAUACGGAGGAUCCGAGCGUUAUCCGGAUUUAUUGGGUUUAAAGGGAGCGUAGGUGGGUUGUUAAGUCAGUUGUGAAAAUUUGCGGCGCAACCGUAAAAUUGCAGUUGAAACUGGCAGUCUUGAGUACAGUAGAGGUGUGCGGAAUGCGUGGUGUAGCGGUGAAAUGCUUAGAUAUCACGAAGAACUCCGAUUGCGAAGGCAGCUCACUGGACUGCAACUGACACUGAGGCUCGAAAGUGUGGGUAUCGAACAGGAUUAGAUACCCGAGUAGUC